AUUCAUUCUAUUUCUGAAGAGAAGCACCCUUCCUCCAUGUUCUUCUUCUCUGUUUUAUCAUCCCUCUCCAUCUCGAUCCAAAAUUUUAACCAUAAGUUAUUGAUCAGACGCUGCAUAGUUGAUCAGGACUUCAAGAGCAACAUUUGCAACCGGUCAAUUUCUAGGUUCCUCUGCGGGUGACUCUGCUUUUAUUUGAGGAUUAAGAAAAAGGGGACAAAAUUCUUUGUACUAUGCUACCAAUUGAAGUAGCUGAUGAGGUGCCCCUGGAGUAAGCCUUGAAGACUACAGAAGAACCAGCUUCUAGUUCUUAGGACUCGUGCUAGUACUUAUUUUAGAUGGCCUUUAUUUUGAAAGACUUAUAGCCUUUAUUUCAUUAUGAUCUGUAUUUUAAUACACUCUUUAGGCCUCCUUGAACCUUUAGUUGGUUAAGUAUUUUGAAAUAUUCUAAAACUUGUAAAGUUUAAAUUUCUAGUCUAUUCUGGAUGACUGUAAAAAGCUUAAAUUUAAUUACAUCCUUAACUGUUUUGUCAUAUUAUAAUGCUAAUCAUCCUAUA